CUUAAAAUGAAAUCUCCCCUAGUGCACUCAAAAUGUGAUUUAAUUAACAAAAAAACAGGCUUAUCCCACCUUUCAGGAAUAUGCCAAGCAGGCGCUUUCAGGAAAUGGAAUAUUAAAAAUCCAAGAAAACAAUGGAAGGCCUAAAAGAAAGAACAAUGCCAUGGCGAGGUACUCAGAGCUGAGGGAGGAAGAUUGCUGCAGCCAGUGAGCUAAGCGGAAAGAAUAUCCUGGGCUUCCUUGGGAUCCGAUGUGGACUUGGUCCAGCUGCAGGGAGAGAAUGUACUGCUCAGGCCGACGUGAGGAUCCAAUCCACUCACCGGUUACAUGCCACGAUGUAAAUUAAUAAAUUCGCAUUCUGAUUUUAUCAUCUGCCUCAUCUGAGGUCUGUAGGCGUGAGUCAGCAUCCCCUAGUUUAAUCAACAUGGACACUGAGACUAUCAAGCUUUUGAGCUGAAAAGCUAAGAAUUAGACCCAGGACCAGAGUGAAAUCACCAAGAUGAGGAAAUCCAAGCUCAGAAUGGAUAAUUCACCUAAGGAAAUACAGAUGGAAAAUGGCAGAGCUGCAAUCUAAACCCAGGUCCAUCUGAUAAUAAAGCCCAGGCUCUCCUCAACCAACUUCAGAUCUAGGAUGCUUCCAGUGAGACUCCGUGCUCCCUCCCUGUGUGGUUCCCAUGGCCUUUCUUUACCUCAAGAAAAUGCAGAGUGAAAAGCAAUGGUAGCAGAAGUUUCUAGAAGUUACUUAUAUGGCAAGUGCAAGUAUUUCAGAACACAUUUGAGAUUCAGGAAGGAGGCAAAAAGGCUUCUGCUGAGCAGUCAAAAUGACGAAGUUUGUAAACUUCACUUUAUUUGGGUCCCUGCUGAAAGUCUACCUACUCUUUAAAAACAAUAACAACAACAAAAAAUGGGAACACACUAUUAACGCUGUUCUGCACAUGUAUUUUUCAAUUAACAAUUGGUGAGUAUUCCCUUUUAGCGCACAUAGAUCUACCUCAUUCAUUUAAGGGCUCUGUAGUGCUGCAUUGUGUGAAUGCACCAAAUGUGUAUUUAUCCUGCAUUCUCUAGGUGGACAUUUUAGACACUUACAAGGGUUGGGGCUCAGAAAGUGAUAUCCCAAAGGCUGAUGUUUUGACAUGCUGAGGGCCCUCAGAAGCCGCCCCCGAACCAAGGUCCCUCUAACUUCUUGUUCCCCAUACCUGCCCCACCACCAAACACAGGGAGGGACUGUCUGUCUUUGGAAAUUUCCUCAUCUGACCAAGAAAGCAUCUUUCCAAAAGAAAUGCAAUUGUCUUAAACACCCUCCCUAGAGGUCUCAUCAAAUAACCAAGAAAGAUAAACCACCAGAAGAGAUGAGACUGGGAAUCAUCACCACACCCAGACAGACUUCAUCUAUUCUUCUGAGAGCAGCUCCAAGAGAUUGCCUGGAGGACUUUAUCUGCUUAAUAAGACAAGCUUUGUUCCUGUACAGCUCCGCCCCUCACCUUCCUGUAAUAUCUGCCUCCCACCUCCCCAGUCCAUACAUCUCCUCCCUCCUGUAUGAAAAAGGGUAUACAAGCUUCUGUGCCCCAUUGGGUUAUUGGGAAAUCAUUCUCCUGUGAUUCCCCUGUGCCAUGCACACUAAAAUAAAAUUUUGUAUGCCUUUUCUCCUAUCGAUCUGCCUUUGG
rnacentral:lncRNA from 1 species